AAGAAAUGUUAAAUCACCUUACGUAAACACAUAGCCGGUGCUGUGACACCGAAUGAUGGAAAGAGAAAACAACGUUAUUUUUUUGUGUGUAGUCGUUACAGCUGAGCCAUCAGACUGCAGGUGGCAACCAGUUGGUCGAGAUAAAGUUUUUUAGCCUCGACUAAGUAUCCGUCGAUUUCUGUUGCUGUGUAGCUAUUUCAGAUACUGCUGGAACCAAAAAAGUAAACGGCCAUCUACUGGAUGUUGGUUAAAAAAAACUUUUGCCACCCGAUUGUAGCAAAUGUUUUUAUCACCCAUGGUCCCGGAUCCGGCAAAAAUACGGCGCACUUAUAUAAAGAUGAAGGAAAUUCAUGGCGUAAUGUCCUCAGAAGACUAUGUUGCACACCCCUUCUGGCCAGAGGCUUUGUUCUCAGGUUGAC